AAAAAAUUUGAUUCUAGUUUUUAAAUUUAAUAUAUAUUUUAUUUAUAUGUAUGUAUUAGCUUAUUUUCAUUAAUUAUUUAAAUAGUAGUUAAUUUUUAUUUUGCAAUAAUUAAAUUUAUACAAUAAUAGAAAUAUUGAUAAAGAAAUAUAUAAUAGUAUUGAUAAAAUUUGUGCCAGCAAUCGCGGUUAUACAGAUAAUGCAAUUAAAUUUUUUUUUGGUAAUAAUAAAUAGAAAAUUUUAUUUAAUUUUAAAUUUAAUUUAGUAAGUGAAAUUAGAAAUUAAUAUAGGGUUAAUUAAUUUAAUUUAUGAUUUUAUGAAACUCCAUUAAUAAACUAGGAUUAGAUACCCUAUUAUAAGGAGUGUAAAUAAUAAUAUCAAAGUAGUAGUAGUUAUGUUCUUGAAAUUUAAAGAAUUUGGCGGUAUUUUAGUCUUUUCAGAGGAACCUGUUCUAUAAUUGAUGAUCCACGAUUAAUUGUACUUAAUUUACUAAUUUAUAUAUCGUCGUAGUUUGAAUUUUUUAUAAGAAUUAGAAUAUUCAGAAUUUAAUAUUAAAUAAAAGAAAUCAGAUCAAGGUGUAGUUUAUAAUUAAGAAGAAAUGGGUUACAAUAAAAAUAUUUAAGAUGGUUAUAAUAAUUAAAAUUAUUAUAUAAAGCGGAUUUGAAAGUAAUAUAUUUUAGUUAAAAUAUAUGAUUUAAGCUCUAAAAUGUGUACAUAUCGCCCGUCGCUUUCAUUGAAUAAUUAAGAUGAAAUAAGUCGUAACAUAGUAGAUGUACCGGAAGGUGUAUCUGGAAAGUC
rnacentral:ncRNA from 1 species